GUGCUUCAGCAGCACAUAUACCAGAGAAGAUGAGCAUGGCCCCUGCACAAGGAUGACAUGCAAAUUAAAUUCAUGAAGUGUUC
ensembl:snRNA U6 U6 spliceosomal RNA